CGAUGGCGGAUCGGGUGAGAGGCGCCAAGAUGAACUGGACCAGAGUAAUAAGGACAUGCACAGACAAAUCAAAUGACCAUCACACAACUAAUAGCCCCCUGCCCUCUAUGGAUGAGUUUGAAAAGCACAAAAACCCAGAGAGUUGAAGUAAUUGUUCAUGGAACGUAUGUCCCACAAGAUGCACGCAACCCUGUUACUGUAUCCUUUUUCGCACGGUAGAAGAAGAAAGCGGUGACUCACGAUACGCUGGACUUGACAUCAGUUUUCCAAAAGAAUGGGUAGAACAAAGAAUUUGCAUCAAGAUUGAAGGGACGACCUGCGAUAUGGAAACUCAUGGAGCUCAUUCUGAAGGAAAAUGGAGGU